rnacentral:rRNA from 1 species
CCUACGGGUGGCAGCAGUGGGGAAUAUUGCGCAAUGGGCGAAAGCCUGACGCAGCGACGCCGCGUGAGGGAUGAAGGUCUUCGGAUCGUAAACCUCUUUCAGCAGGGAAGAACAGUCACUGUGCUAAUCAGCAGUGAAUUGACGGUACCUGCAAAGGAAGCACCGGCUAACGCCGUGCCAGCAGCCGCGGUAAUACGGAGGGUGCGAGCGUUAAUCGGAAUUACUGGGCGUAAAGGGCGCGUAGGCGGUAUGUCAAGUCAAAGGUGAAAUCCCAGGGCUCAACGUGGGAACUGCCUUUGAAACUGGUAAACUGGAGUGUGUGAGAGGAUAGUGGAAUUCUAGGUGUAGGAGUGAAAUCCGUAGAGAUCAGGAGGAACACCAGUUGCGAAGGCGACUAUCUGGCACAUAACUGACGCUGAGGAGCGAAAGCGUGGGUAGCAAACAGGAUUAGAUACCCUUGUAGUC